AUUGAACGCUGGCGGCAUGCUUUACACAUGCAAGUCGAACGGUAACAGGGAGCUUGCUCCGCUGACGAGUGGCGAACGGGUGAGUAAUGCAUCGGAACGUACCGUGUAAUGGGGGAUAACGUAGCGAAAGUUACGCUAAUACCGCAUACGCCCUGAGGGGGAAAGUGGGGGACCGCAAGGCCUCACGUUAUACGAGCGGCCGAUGUCGGAUUAGCUAGUUGGAGGGGUAAAGGCCUACCAAGGCGACGAUCCGUAGCGGGUCUGAGAGGAUGAUCCGCCACACUGGGACUGAGACACGGCCCAGACUCCUACGGGAGGCAGCAGUGGGGAAUUUUGGACAAUGGGCGCAAGCCUGAUCCAGCCAUGCCGCGUGAGUGAAGAAGGCCUCGG
rnacentral:rRNA from 1 species